GGGACACGUGGUAUCCUGUCUGAAUAUGGGGGGACCAUCCUCCAAGGCUAAAUACUCCUGACUGACCGAUAGUGAACCAGUACCGUGAGGGAAAGGCGAAAAGAACCCCGGCGAGGGGAGUGAAAAAGAACCUGAAACCGUGUACGUACAAGCAGUGGGAGCACCUUUAUGGUGUGACUGCGUACCUUUUGUAUAAUGGGUCAGCGACUUAUAUUCUGUAGCAAGGUUAACCGUAUAGGGGAGCCGCAGGGAAACCGAGUCUUAACUGGGCGUUAAGUUGCAGGGUAUAGACCCGAAACCCGGUGAUCUAGCCAUGGGCAGGUUGAAGGUUGGGUAACACUAACUGGAGGACCGAACCGACUAAUGUUGAAAAAUUAGCGGAUGACUUGUGGCUGGGGGUGAAAGGCCAAUCAAACCGGGAGAUAGCUGGUUCUCCCCGAAAGCU
rnacentral:rRNA from 3 species